GGUGGACGUUCGCAGGACUACACACGUGCUACAAUGGUCGGUACAAAGGGUUGCCAAGCCGCGAGGUGGAGCUAAUCCCAUAAAACCGAUCGUAGUCCGGAUCGCAGUCUGCAACUCGACUGCGUGAAGUCGGAAUCGCUAGUAAUCGUGAAUCAGAAUGUCACGGUGAAUACGUUCCCGGGCCUUGUACACACCGCCCGUCACACCAUGGGAGUGGGUUGCUCCAGAAGUAGCUAGUCUAACCGCAAGGGGGACGGUUACCACGGAGUGAUUCAUGACUGGGGUGAAGUCGUAACAAGGUAGCCGUAGGGGAACCUGCGGUUGGAUCACCUCCUUAA
rnacentral:rRNA from 1 species